AGUGAACGCUGGCGGUAGGCCUAACACAUGCAAGUCGAACGGCAGCACAGUAAGAGCCUGCUCUUACGGGUGGCGAGUGGCGGACGGGUGAGGAAUACACCGGAAUCUACUUUUUCGUGGGGGAUAACGUAGGGAAACUUACGCCAAUACCGCAUACCACCUACGGGUGAAAGCAGGGGAUCUUCGGACCUUGCGCGAUUGAAUGAGCCGAUGUCGGAUUAGCUAGUUGGCGGGGUAAAGGCCCACCAAGGCGACGAUCCGUAGCUGGUCUGAGAGGAGGAUCAGCCACACUGGAACUGAGACACGGUCCAGACUCCUACGGGAGGCAGCAGUGGGGAAUAUUGGACAAUGGGCGCAAGCCUGAUCCAGCCAUGCCGCGUGUGUGAAGAAGGCCUUCGGGUUGUAAAGCCCUUUUGUUGGGAAAGAAAAGCAGCAGGUUAAUACCCCGCGGUUCUGACGGUACCCGAAGAAUAAGCACCGGCUAACUACGUG
rnacentral:rRNA from 1 species